CACUCUUGGUGGGUCUUUUUUUGUGUUUUGUAGGCAGCAUAUAUCUUACUUGGUCAUGCUCCUUUGAUCCAUUUAUUGAGUAGCUCAUAAUGAUGACAGUUUUGAGUGGGGCUUAGAGCAAAAUAUGGCUCUGGAACAAGUCCAGUCUGUGGUGCAAAGUGAUACGGAGUUUCCUGAUGCUGCUGCAGGCCCCAUGGCACAGAAAACAUCGACAGCAAACAGUGAUACUGUGUGAAGCCUCUGGCAAGUCCCAAAAGGGGCCUGACACCUGGGGUUUGUAUUGAGAUCUUCUUCUGUGACAAUUAUUCUCUUUUUGAAAAGCAGCUCUUGGACCCAGGUAGAAGCUGAAUGUCCAGCCAUGAGAUACUAAGUGACUAUGGGAGCUGACUCAUGACCUUGAUGUUACAUGAGACCCUGAAGCAUAACAUUGGCAUGUAGAGUAGCAUUUCAUUACAAAAUACAAAUGGAAUAUGUGGUGCAAGGUCUGCAUUGUUCUGGAGAUACCAGUAAACUACACGUAACGGAUGUGUUUCGAAGAUUUGAUAUUUUUUAUAUUUAAUUCUUCAAUCCAUCUGGAAUUGAUUUCUCCGCAUGAUGUGAAGAAUUGUUGUUAUCCCCAUUUGUUAUGUCUCCAGAACUUCAGGCUCAAGUCUUUGCGACCCCAUAGACUGCAGCCUGCCA